GUGCAGCAAACAUGACACAUGUAUACUUAUGUAACAAACCUGCACGUUCUACACAUGUACCCCAGAACUUAAAGUAUAAUAAUAAAAUAAAACUACAUUGCAUAAGGAAUAAAAUAUCUUACAUAUAUUUAAAGAAAAAAUUCUGGUUGCUGUUGACCUGGGCUCAGCCAGGCACAAUUUGACAUAUAUUUCCUGGCACGCUAUGGCAGCAGACUGUUAUCUUGGGAUAUUGAUUUGUGUUGCGCCUGUUCACGUUCCGUUUCUCCUUUUAUGCAGGUGGCUUAAGACUUUGGAAUCUUUACCUCCAGGACGAUAGGAGAAACUGCUUAAGUGAAAUCUUUCUGCCUAUUUUCCAGUGACUGUGUGAAUUGUACUGGAUGGAAUGGAGAGAAAGGGGUGGGAUCGUGGAGGGUACCUUUGUGGACAAGCAAGAAAAGAGAGACUCCCCAAAGGGACAAAGGCAAUAAAGCUUGGUAAAUCUGGGCAGGGUCCUGGGCCAGCAGAAGGACCUCAGAGAUGGGACGAAGAGUGUUGAGGAGGCUGGACCCUUUCACAAGGUCUCCAGCCUGGCCAAAGACUCCUGAUCCCCAAGAGAGGCCAGAAGAUGUCAGAGCUGCUGGGCAUAAAGGGAUUCUGUGGGCCAGGACAUCAGGUACCGCAGCAGAAACCAGAAUAGUGGCAUGAGAUGGAUUAAGGACACCUUCUUGACAUCCCAGGGCUGUGUACGUCUCAGCUCUGGGAGGCAGGAGCCCUAGCAGGACUGUGAUAGCACUUUCUGUGUGCGAGAAUUGGUCUCAGAUUGAUUUAAAGAAAAUAGAAAGGCCAGGUGCAGUGGCUGACACCUGUAAUCCUAGCAAUGUGGGAGGCCGAGACGGGUGGAUCACCUGAGGUCAGGAGUUUGAGACCAGCCUGGCCAACAUGAGAAACCCUGUCUCUACUAAAAAUACAAAAAUUAGCUGGGCGUGGUGGUGGGCACCUGUAAUCUCAGCUGCUCGGGAGGCUGAGGCAGGAGAAUUGCUUGAACCUGGGGCGGUGUUGGUGGAGGUUACAGUGAGCUGAGAUUGUGCCACUUCACUCCAGCCUGGGCAAAAGAGUGAAAUUCCAUCAAAAAAAAAAAAAAAAAAUAGAAAAAGUGGUUCUUCUUACCCAUCUAGCUUUGUGGGCUAAUGUGGGCUAAGACUCACAUCUGUCAUAUUAUUGAUUUUGGCUUUAUAUUGAAUAUUUUGUUGUUUUCUAAGGGAUAGCUGACAUUUAUGUACAUUAGCACCUUAUAUGCAUAGACUUAUUCCCACAGUUCUUACAAGGUUGGCCCUAUUGUGAUCUUUAUUUUGCAAAUGAGAGAAUAAUGAUAGAAAGAGUCUGCCCUAAUUUCCAGCUAGUAGGUGGUGGAAUGGGAUUUGAACCCAGGCUGGCUAGAUGUGGAGUCUGGUCACUCCCUGCUCCCUCCUCCCCCACCGCCCCCCACCGUGCUGCGUUGCUGGUAGAUGCCACUUCUUUGAAGACCAUGCUGUGUGCUUCCGUUUUCUUCAUGAGGCUUAACUCAAUGAAGGGCAUCAGAGGUAAUCAGCCAUCAUGGGUUGAUUCUCUGGUUGCUGACAUCAUAGGAAUUUACUUUCCUGUGCAAGGAGCCUGGUGCCUCCGUCCUGGAUCUGCUGGACACUGGCUGAGAGGUGAGGGUGGUUAGAGCUGAGCUCUCUUCAGCACUGUGCUCCGUCUCCUCCAUGCUUUCUGCUGCCCGCCCAGCCCUGGGAGGAACAGCUGGUCACCUUCAAGCUGUCUGUGUGUCCUCCCCAUGGUUUUGGUCUUUCAGGCUCUGUGAGGGGUGACUGGACUCUGGAACUCUGUGCCACAGUCACGCUCCUCUCUUUGACACACUUUGCAGUGUGACUCCCAGGAGUGAUUGCGGAACGAUCCCCAGGGAACCCGCUGAUGAACAGCAAAGAUGUUGAGAGCUGGGGUGGUGACAGAGGGAACCCUCUAGACAAGUCCUGAUUUUUGUUGGAAGACAUUUAAAAGUCUCAUCCAGUGCAGAGAGACAAGGCCCCCAUGGGAGCCAAAUUCCCUCUCAAACUCAGUUUUGUUUCCAGAAGAGGUCACUUUUAGCGCUUAUAAUUUUAAUUUGAAAUUAAAUGUGCCUUUGGGACAGAAGCAAUCUGUGCUGGGGGUGUCUUCACAACAAGGGUGACAGUGUGAAUGCUCAUAGCGUGCAACACCAGGGCCUAGCCAGGGACCACAGAGCAGUGAUUCAUGCCAUCUGGGGCCUGCCGUGCCGUGAACUCCAGGAGGAAGCUGCGUGACUGAGAGCUUUUGUCGCUCAGGGGCUGGAGGGUGAAAUAUGAACCCUUUCUGUUUCCUUGCCUUGUUCUUGUCUGAGCCCAGACAGUGGCCUGAGCUGAGGUCUGGGAGACAGGCAAGCAGGCUGUUUCUAGCAGGCUCGUGCUGGCCUCCCACAGGACCAUGGGUCUCUUUCUGCUGUCCCUGUCAGGCUGACCCCAACCCGCCCAGUGUUAGGAUUGUCAGACCAUCUCUCAAAUUCAGAGCAACUCCUCAAACAUGAAUAACCUCAGACUGAAUCGGCCUUUCCUGGAAGAUUCACCCUUGGCAGUUUGGGGUUUUGAAUUUGGUGGUUUCUGAAAAGCACACACACAGCUGCUGCAGAGGAGGCUGUGGGGCUAUGGCAGCUCCAUGCUGGGCAUCCGAUCCCACAGACUGUGCGCUGCCCCCACUCCCCAGCCAAGACGGAGAAUAACUAGUGACAGGCUGUGUCUCUCCAAGGGUUGCUGGAGAGAACUAGUCAGGCGCUGGUCCUCUGGCCUUUGUUUAGGUUUCAUGUAUGUUGAGUUGAACAAACCAACCUGCCCCGCACAUCGCAGAAACAAAGACGGCCUUUGUUUUUCAUGAUGACAUCACUUUUCUUCUUUUUUUUUUUUUUUCAGACAUGGUUUCAUUCUGUUACCCAGGCUGGAGUGCAUUUGUGCGAUCACGGCUCACCCCAGCCUCAAACCCCCGGGCUCAAGUGAUCCUCCCACUUCAGCCUCCCAAGUAGUUGGGACUGCAGGGGUAUACCGCCAAGCCCUGGGUCAUUUUUGAAAUUUUUAUAGAGACAGGGUUUCACCAUGUUUCUCAGGCUGGUCUGGGCCUUGGCCUCCCAAAGUGCUGAGAUUACAGGCAUGAGCCACCACAUCCAGCCACUUGUUAAGAUUGAGAACAGAGUUGCUGGCCCUCCUUCUAUGUAAGCUCCCAGUCUGUCUGUAGAGGCCAGCCUUAAGGUAACUGUACCUGCUGCUCAGAUGGCCCAAGCAGGAGGAUCCCAGGUGUGAUAUUGAGUACAUUGGUCAUCCCCCUGCCUCCCACCUGAAUGGAAACAGUCUGAGAGCCCCCUCUGUGGCUUGGUGCUAGGCAGGACCUUAGGGCUUGCAGGUGAAUUGAUGAGGGAGAUGAACACUGACCUGCGUCCUCUUCCCAGCAUGGGACUUGAAUGUUGCUCUUGGUACACAUUUCUGCAGAUGUGUCUCUGGCUCUAAGGAUGCAGAAUAUUGGUGGGUCCAGUGUAGGGGCUGCCAAAGGGGGUGUCAUGUGCUCUGUGGAUAUUCUCACGAUUGUAAUGGUCCCCACUGAAGUGUUUCUGUUUGUUGCAGUAAAACCUCUCCUCAGUGUCUAUUACUUUUCUCUAUAUUCUUGGUGAAGGAGAGAGAUGCUCAUAGGGGCCUGAAUGAGGUAGGAAGAGCAGAUGCUGUUCUCUGCUUCCUCCUCUUCACCAGCAUUCCUUCUGCCCUGUUUUUCCUGGCAGGAUCAGCUCUACUCUGGGCAGUCCAAGCCUGUGAACCAGCACACCGAGGAUCUGUGUUGGAGCUCAGUCGACUGUUUUGGAAGAGUCGCCCAGAGAAGCAGUGUGGUCUCCCAUUCAGCAACAGAGCUGGAGUGCGAUGGUGCAAUCUUGGCUCACUGCAACCUCUGCCUCCUGGGUUCAAGCAAUUCUCCUGCCUCAGCCUCCCGAGCAGCUGGGAUUACAGGUGUGUACCACCAAGCCCACCUAAUUUUUGUAUUUUUAGUAGAGAUGGGGUUUUGCCAUGUCGGCCAGGCUGGUCUCAAACUCCCUACCUCAAAUGAUCCACCUGCCUCGGCCUCUCAGUGCUGGGAUUGUAGGUGUGAGCUACUGCGCCCGGCCCAAAUGGGCCUUACCCUCUUAUAACCAAAUACUUGUGUCAGAGAAACUAGCUUGCUUUUAUAUCAAGAUUAUCAUCCUGGAUUUUGAUAAUGCUGCAGAAAUAUUGUCAAGCGUUGUUCAGUCGGCUCUGCUCUUUCCAAGUUAAGGUGAACUAAGGGAGCCAACCACAGGAAGGGUUUCCUGCCUCUUUUUUCUCCUCCCCUUAACCCUUUGCUUAAAAAGCUCUCUGAGGCCAUAAACUACUAGGACACAACUCCCUGGUAGUCAUUUAUAACUAUGUUUCUGUUUAUUUUUUGGACCAAUAACUUAAUUUGAUAGGGUUAUGGGAAAUCCUGUGGUCCUGUAGCUGAGAAGAGUGUGGGUCCAGACUGAGGAGGUCCUUUGGGAUCUGUUGCUUCUAUCAUUGGCCUGACCCACUCUGGAAAAAAGAGGCUCAAAUUCAGACCUCUUGGAGAAAAAGAAGAAAGGGCUUCAUUCGAAGUGGGGAUUUAAGAAAAAAGUGAGUCAGAGACAUCUAUUUGUAGUCUUGAACUAGAUUUUAAGGCAAAGCAGGAUCUCAGAUGAGAUUGAUAGAUGAUGUGCUUGGAGUCCACAUCCCAUUCCUGUUGAUAUGUUUCACCUCUUUCUAUUACCGGGAUGUGAUUACUUCAAAGCCAGGAAGAACUACAAUCUAAUUUUAGAGGGAUGCCCUUCUUGUACACAUUGGAGAGUAUAUAUGUUAAUAUAUGACAUAUAUAUCUAUAUAAUUUUAGUGGUUGUAUAAGAAAAACUGGGAUAGGUAAACAAAAAAGACCAGCUGAAAGUCUACCUAUGAAGGAUUCAGGUUAACAUAGUCACUUAUAUUGCCUCUACUACAGAUCUGUGGGGAUGAUUUUUAUGUGUUGUGAAGGGUUGUCUCUGAAUUUCCUGUAAAGUUUGGCAUUUUUAAAUUUUUUUGACUCUUCUCCUUUUAAAUAUAUAUAUUGGAAACUUGGCUGUUUGUUUCCAGAGCGUCACAGUGAACCAACAGACCAGCACCUCUUCAUAUGUAACCACCUCUUCAUAUGUAACCACCUCUUCAUAUGUAACCACCUCUUCAUAUGUAACCACCUCUUCAUAUGUAAUCCACCUCUUCAUAUGUAACCACCUCUUCAUAUGUAAUCCACCCUUCAUAUGUAAUCCCCUGGGACAGUCCAUCUCAAUGCCCCAAAGAAACACUCUCCUGGCAGAAUAAGGGUGAAGAUAAAGAGGGCGAUGGCCUAUUCCUGUGCCUAUCUGGGAGCACAUGUAGGUAUGAGUAACAACACCAAGAGAUGCCAAGGGGAAAGAAGUUGUGGGAGCCCAUGGAAUGCAGGAGGGAAAUAUGAAUCCUGUGAAGGGCAAGGUGGUUUCUUUGUGUGGACAACCCUGAUAAAGCAAUGAAAAUGGAUAAGGACAGUAAGGACAAGUGCCCUCCAAGGCAUUAAGGAAAAUGAGAUUGUAGCAUGGAGAAAGAAAAGAAAGGAGAGAGAGAAAAAGUAGUUGGAAAAGUAAAUGACUCAAACCUUCCAUUACUGAAAGUUCCAAAUGUUUCUUUAAUGGCGAUCACCAGAUUGUAGGCCUUCAUUUUGCCCUGGCCAGCAUUCCUCAUCUUCCUGUUCAUAACAAAGAUGAGUUUCUCUUCUGACCACUAGAGGUCUCUAGAGACUCACAGAUCAAUGUCUGAAGUCUGAUACCCUCUUGCUAUCAACCACUCUGGGAGGUUUAUUUUUCCAAAAUGAAUAGUCACAUAGUCACAAGAGAUCCAAGGCCUGAAUCUUAAAUUUCUAAAAAUUAAAAAAUAUAUAUAGCUGCUUCAGUGGGUAGCUGCCUACUCAACUUCAAGCUGGCACUGACCAUCAUCCCUCAAAUAUGUCCCUUGCUAUUUUGAUGGUAGAAAUUCUGCUGUUACUCUGUGUAAUAGAGCCUAAUUUAUACAAUAUGAUAUAGAGUUAUACCAUAGUAUGAGUGACUCUGCUGGGUCUUUGCUAUUGUGAUUGCGAAGGAUGACAGAUCAGGGUUGGUGGGGAGACGAGGAGGGCAAUGAAAGAGGAGCUGAAGACAAAUUUCACCUAGACACCAUUGCAGAGGUCCUCUUCCAACUUCCUGCCCCUCAGUAAGUGCUGCGGGCAUGUAACCCAACUCUGGGGUCAAGUGAACAAACUGCCCUCAGCUUCCUUAAGCCUUUCUGUUCAAAACGAUGACUUCCAGACUUUCCUGGGACACUGACAUUAUCAUCUCUGGAGUCCUUGAUGUGACUCUCUUCCUGGCCACAUGGACUGUAGCUAUUUUGGGCGUGACCAACAUGUUUGAUAGUGCCGGUGAUGACAAGUGUACAUUUCAACAUUCUGUUAUUUAGAAUACUCAUGUAAUUAUUUGUAAUGAAUCAUUGAUGACAUCUGGAGAACAAUGAAGUCUUCUUUAAAUGUUUGGACAAUUAGCUAUGGGAAAUUUUUACUUUGAUGAGCUUUCAUUUUUAUCUCAAGAAUUUUGGAAUUAUUUCCUGUUGCAUUCUGGUAUGCAUUAAUUUUUCCUACAUUUAUCCACCCAUCAAACAUAUAUUGAGAGUCUAUUAUUUUCCUCUUCUGCAGAAGGCUCUGUGAAUAUGAGGAUGAAUAGGAAGAAUAGGGCAGUGUUCUCAAGAAGUCCAUCAGUGGGUAAGAGGGUCAGAGUGUUGAGGUGGUUACAAAGUGCAUGAUAAAUAGAGAAGUAAAAAGUGCAUUGGGACUAGGAAAAAAUAAAAAAAUACUUCUAGAAAAAUAAAGUUAUCUUUCUCAGCUUGUUUGAAAGUCAUCAUCUGUUGUCAUUGUUUUUUUAGCAGGGAACAGUAAUCUGUUAAUUCACCCUGAUGCCUUAGAUACAAUUAUUAAUUGCUUGUUGCUCUUUUAAAAGGUGCUUACCACAGGGCUGAAGGGUAGAGUGCAUGGAAGGCAAUAUGGCCAGAGCCUACUGGUGUAAUCCAUUCCACAGGAGUGACCUCUCAUCUGUUCAGAGGAAGACCAGUGGUUGGUGGGGUUGCCCGUGUUUUCACAGUGGAUUUCCUGAAGCUCCUGAGAAAAUUUGGAGAAAUAUAUCCUAUCAAGAAGCUUGAAGGAAUCAGACAGCUGCUCCAAAAGGGUCAGACACUGAGAUCAAUUGCCCAUCCUUGGUUCCUGCUCUGAAUCGACAUCAGUUUGCAACUAGUCAUUUCAUAAAUCAAGGAAAAGAAGAAAGGUAAAUUAAUGACUCUGUUAACUAGAGGGGCUCUGAAAUUUCUGCUUUACAUGUACUCAUUUCGGAUUUCACUUUUAUUAUAACCAACUUGCAAACACAGCAUUGCAAUUGUAUAUGCACCUCCCAAAGAUGCUGGGAAGCAGCGGAUAUUUCAUCAUUUGAGGACAGCUUGUGCCUGCAAGUGGCAGAGGUGCUGGAGGAGACAAAUAAAAGGGAUCUCUUUUCCAUGAAUCUCUGUCUUCUGAGCUGAAAGACAAUUGACAAGUUGGCUGAUAAGACCUUGGAGAAAGAAGAUAUUUUAAAACUUUAAUUGAAAAUCCCCAUUCCUUCCAUUCAAGAAGCAAAAGAGGAAACUCUAAUGAUGGGCACACUGGUGCUAGUAUCAGCCUUUUUGAUCACACGGUGUGGACCAGCCCACCUUGGAGUUCACUGUGCUGGUGGCCUGAUCCUAAUCCAAGUCCUAAUGGAGCUCUGGAAAAUGGCUGUAGCUUUUCUGAGCAGGAGCAAAUCUGUUUCUGGUUCUUAAGGACUAAAAAGCCACCUCCUGCCUCUAAAGUGCUUGAAGACACAGUAGGAAGGCACCAGAGGGCAUUCUCAGACCAUCUAUUAUCAAGGAAAUACAGCUGGAAAGUACAAAACAAGUCUCCACUUUGGCCAGUUUUGGAUGUAGUGGUGGUUUCUAUCACACACUCAGGAACACUUGGAGUCUGAAAGCUGCCAUGCUAAAAAAAAAACUGCAAUUCAACCCGGGGGUAUCAGCAGAGGCAUUUGAAUGACUGACUGCAGGCUGCCCAUCCUUCUGCUCCUGUACUGAUACCAAGGAUGCCCUGGGCAGGCAACAUGGACAAGCAGAGAGACCUCUGGCCUGAAAGAUCAGAGAUGUGGGGAUCUUGGUUCCAGCAUUAACUGCUUUCUUGACCUUCAGCAAAUUACUUUGUGCUCCAAAUCUUAGUUUUCUCAUCUGUAAAAUGAAGAUACGAAACAAUACGUGAAGAUCAUUUUGAAGUCUCUCAGUGGUUGAAUUCCUUCCUUUUUUUACUCUCCUUCCCUCCCUUCCUUCCUGAUUAAACUGAAGGAGAAACUGGGAUAUAUUAAUAUCAUGUUUGGAGUAGAUAUGUUAUGACCUUCUAGUGCUGAAGAGACAGCCUCUGAGGAUUGGCAAUGCACACUGCUCAUUGUCGAGUUGAAAGCUGAGCACCUAGGGUGUGAGUGGCUUUCAAGUUGAUUCAGGCUUUUCUGACUGGGGCAUGUGCACCUUCACAGUUGGAACAGCCAUGGGACAUAUAUAGUCUAGCGUCUUGGAACAUUGAUUCUACAUGAGAAUUCUGGAGAAAAAUAUGACAUUUUUAGUGUUAAACAGAGAUAUUAUGGAACAUAGGUUGAAUUUUUGCUGCAUUUUUGCAGUGAAAAAAGACUAAAAAUAUGGGGUUUGUGGUUGGAUGCUUUUGGGUGUACUUUCGUAUCUCCUGACAUUAUAAUUAUCUCUUUGUAUUAUUUGGAGUGUACUGGAGGGAAAUUUUGGGGAAGCUUACCCCUAGGGGUACAUUUUGAAUGUAUCUCAGGUUGAGUUUCCUUGAAGCAGAGCCUGAGGCAAGCAUUCGCCCACAUGCCAUUUCCUGAGAGCCUGGCAUAUUCUUUAUGGGGAACAACUUGCCAAUAAGUGAGAGAAGCAGGAUAGGAAAGGGCAAAGAGCUGUACAAUGAUGUGGUCUCAAGGAAUGUGAUCUGAUUCAUUGUGUGUGUGUGGGUGGGGGCGGCUGGGUUCUGAUGAAUAAUUCACUCCCCAGAAUUGACCACCUGAGGCAAGGGGGAUAGAAUUGUGUACACCCAUAUCAGUUGGUCAUUAUUUACAGGUAUAUAUGGGUGAAGCCUAAAAGGGGACACUCUUCAGUCAGGAGGCAAUUCCCCAGAGAAAGGAACAGCUAUAAGCUGUAUGUAGCCAUGGCAUGCUGGAGUCAGCUCAUCACAGCUUAAAAUUGCUGACUGCACAUCCCUUCCCAAAUGCCCAUUCUGUGACUUCACCCUGACAGCCUGCAAUCGGCCAAGAUGGAACCAUUUACAUCAUGAAAAUCAACAAAAGCUACAAAUCCCAGGCCUUAAACUCCCACAAGCAGCCAGAUGUUAAACGUUUACCAGCACAGCCCUGGCCAACCUUCUCUGCAGCAAGAGGCUGGUGUCCUGGCUGGUGAAGGGGAUCAGAGCAGGGCACCAACAGCAUUUACUGCAUUGGAGUUACAGAAGAUUUGCCAACAAAUUAUCUCCCCAGCUAAUUUGUCAGUUGGCAAGCCAUUCCUUUAGGAGUUGCCUUUCCUAACCAGAAGAGGAGAUGCAUACAGUAUUGAGAAUCAUAGGACUAAGAAUCCACCACGCUCCAGUCAAAAUGACUGAGUACGUUUUAUAAGUGCAAGAGAAGGGCAGAGAGGAGGUGAGGAAAGAGUGUGUCAUCUGAAUCACCUGCAGUAACAAGAAAGGGCUUUGUUAUACUGUCUAGGGGCAGAAUUUAGAAUAGCUAUAACACUAUAGUAUUUUUUGGAAGAAUUUUUUUUUCAGAAUUUAUUAUUUAAAACCCUGCACUUGACUGAGAUGAUGGAUAGUUAGACUUCUUAUUAUAAGAUUAUUAAGGAAAAGUUCAAAUAUACAUAAAAGUAUAUCAACAGCUAAUGAAGAGUGUAAUAAACCCUCACAUACUCAUCCCUCAGAUUCAAAAAUUAACUUAUAAUCAAUCUUAUUUCAUUCACACCUCUACUCACUUCCUCGUGGGAGCAUGGGAAGUUUUGGAGACAUAGUUAAUUGAAUUAAAGUUGAAUGUGGGUAGCAAAAAGCCAGAGGCUGGGUGUGGUAGCUUACACCUGUAAUCCCUGGAUUUUGGAAGUCUGAGGCAGGCAGAUUGCUGGAGCCCAGGAGUUUGAGACCAGCCUGGGGAACAUGGCGAAACCCUGUCUUUACUAAAAAUACAGAAAUUGGCCAGGUGUGGUGGUUCAUACCUGUAAUCCCAGCACUUUGGGAGGUCAAGGUGGGUGGAUCACAAGGUCAGGAGUUCGAGAUCAGCCUGGUUAAUAUAGUGAAACCCUGUCUCUACUAAAAAUACAAAAAUUAGUUGGGUGUGGUGGUGGGCGCCUGUAGUCCCAGCUGCUCGGGAGGCUGAGCCAGGAGAAUCGCUUGAACCCUGGAGGCAGUGGUUGUAGUGAGCUCAGAUCAUGCCACUGCACUCCAGCCUGGGCAACAGAGUGAGACUCUGUCUCAAAAAAACCAAACCAAACCAAAAUCAAAACCAACCAACCAAACAAAAAAUACAAAAAUUAGCUGAGUGUGGUGGUAUGUGCUAGUUACUUGGGAGGCUGAGGUAAAAGUAAAAUGCUUGAGCUCUAGAGGUUGAGGCUGCAGUGAGCCAUGAUUGUGCCACAGCCCUCUGGCCUGGGUGAUAGAGCAAGGCUCUGUCUCACUGAAAAAAAAAUAAAUAAAAAUAAAAGGCAGAUUUGAGGAAUUUACCAAGGAGUGUGGGAAAGGAUUUGACAGAUGGAAGACACAGCAACUAAUGGACCACUUCCCUAACCUAUUAGGAUCUAGUAGGAAUCAUUAGAAGACACAUGAAAUGCAUUGCAUGAGACAUGUAUUCUGAUUACCCUGGCAACUUUUAUCUCCAGCUCUUUCUAAAAUGAAGAACCAGAAUGAAAAGAAGAGUUACGAGGUUCCUAUGAAAGGAACUCGGUACUUCUUUGCUCUGUGAAUACUUCUUUUUCCCCUGGGCUUUCUCUUUCUCUUCAGGUAGGCAAGAGAAAAAUGUCAAGACAAUUUCUGGGUACAAAUUCUAAAUGAUAUUCCAUCCUAAAAGCAAGGCUUGUUGCCACCGUAACAAGAUAAGAAUCUUAAUUCUUUUUUGAUGGGCAAAGAAAUGUUAUUAGAAAACAGAAGCAAGCUUGGACCUUCUUAUGAUAGGUUUACUGGACUUACAGUGAUGGAUUAUGGCCUAUACACAAGACUCAUCUUUCUUUUUCCUUUCACAGUCUUUGUUGAUCUGUGAUAAGAGAUGGCUUCUGACCUUUUUCUAAGAAUAACAGGUUUCCUUCUCUGCUUUCUGGCCAUUCUGCUUUCCCUCUUACUGGCUCCUAUGCCAAAGAUAACACAUGUGAGUGCUUGACAAUCUGGAGUUGAAAGAAGUUGUUUGAAAGAAGUUGUUAUGGGGCCUCAGGAAGCACAUGUUUGAAAAAUUAAUUAAUUUGUAUGAAUUAAUAAACUAGGGAAAACUUGGUUCAGUCAUAAUAUAUUUAUCACUAGAAUCUUCUACCAAGGAUAGUUGGAAGUAGACAAAUGACUUGAAAAAUUAGACCUUUGGGAGCUUCAGAAAGUCAGUGCUGAGGGAAGAGUAGAUACAACAGCAGAGAAACAGCUCUGUCUAGAUUACUGUCUAGCUGGUUUCUUUUUUUUUUUUGAGACAGAGUCUCACUUUGUCGCCAGGUUGGAGUGCAGUGGUGCAAUCUCUGCUCACCACAACCUCUGCCUCCUGGGUUCAAGUGAUUCUCCUGCUUCAGCCUGCUGAAUGGCUGGGAUUACAGGCAUGUGCCACCACGUCCAGCUAUUUUUUUUUUUAAUUUUUAGUAGAGACGAGGUUUCACCAUGUUGGCCAGGAUGGUCUCAAUCUCUUGACCUUGUGAUCCUCCUGCCUCGGCCUCCCAAAGUGCUGGGAUUAUAGGUGUCAGCCACCGUGCCUGGCCUUGUCUAGCUAAUUUCUAAUAAAGUGGCUGAAGCUACUUAAUUGGAAUUGCCCUAGAAAAAGCCCUGUACUUUGUUCAUGUGGGGAACCUGAGAAAGAAGCUCCCAGAUGCUAUAGACAAGUGCAUGAGCUAUUUAUUGACAGAAGGUUUUCACUUGCCAGUUGUGUGGAAGAGGUUGUUGACAGGUUGUGACUAAAAGGCAGAAAAUAAAAGAAAGCAUUCUUUUCUAAGGGAUGGUUAUGAGUGAAGAUUGGAAAAGGCUGUGCAAGCAUCGAUUCCUACAACUCAUCUCUUCUAGCUAGUAAAUCUUGAAGAUAAAUUUAAGUUUAAAACUGACCAUAGGCUGGCUGAAUUUCUGUUGAGGUUUUUUCACAGUUAUUGGGAAUCAGACUUAAUUCUUUCAGUGGGCUUCUUGGCCUCUUUAUUGGAACCCACUUUUCAUUGUUUCUUUUUCACUGAGAUGUCAUGAUGUGAAAGUAAAAGCAAUUUGCAAUCAAGGUACAUAAAUAUUUCUGACCUCUUACCAAACAAAAAAACAGAAUAGUAUUGAACAUAUACAUGUAUGUGUGUAUAUUAGCAAAAGUCGAUUUGUUAAAAAGACUUUAUUUUUUAAAGAAAAAGACAUUUUAAGAGCAGUUUUAGGUUCAUAGCAAAGCUGAGAGCUCUCCCUGUAUCUCCCUAUAUAUCCCUGCCCCAACAUAUGCAGAGCUUCUGUCAUUAUUAACAUUCCCCCCUACCAGAGUGGUACAUUUCUUACCUACAUUGACACACCAUAAUUACCCAAAGUCUGUGUUUAGAUUAGGGCUCACUGGGUGUUGUACAAUCUAUGAGUUUUGACAAAUGUACAAUGAUAUGUAUCUGUAGUAUCAUAUGGAAUAAUUUCAGGAUUUCAUUUAAAAUAACUUUAUUCUUGAUAACUUUUGUUCUCUCAGGUUGCCCCUGACUUGGCCCCAGAUCAAGCAUGGUAACUGCAUGUUACAAGAUGCAUAUAAGUUCAUGUUAUAAAAAGUGCAAUGAGAUCACACGUUUUUGUAAGAGAAUAUACUUGGUGAAACCUAGGGGAAAUAAUUUUGAAAUGCAAAAUUGUUACCCAAAGCAACAAAAUCCACAGGCAGAAUGAAAAUGUUAGUGUUCACUUAGCCCAAGUGGAGGGCUCCUUAAAUUCAGGAUCAUUCUUGCACAUUGAUUCUGAGUAGAGACCAACAGACAACGGGUCUUCAAACACUCUUUUACAAGAACCUCCUUUGAGUUCGUUUUGAACUUCUGUGACCCAAGUUCUUUCAAAAGGAGAAAACAUAAUCACUUGGGAAUAAGUUCCAAUCAACCUGAUUCACAUUAGCUUGUCUUUUGGGUAGAACAAGUGCCAGUUACCUUUAUUUUCCCCUGUGGUAUAAUAAAUGGGAUAAUUUCAGGUAGCCUCCGUGACCAAAUCCUAAAUCUACUUUGACAGUAAAUAUGUGGCAAUGGCUUUAAUCACCUUAAAAUUUU